rnacentral:sRNA from 1 species
GAAGCCUCUACAGUGGCGGCGUGGGCGC